rnacentral:rRNA from 1 species
GCAUACAAAGAGAAGCGACCUCGCGAGAGCAAGCGAACCUCAUAAAGUGCGUCGUAGUCCGGAUUGGAGUCUGCAACUCGACUCCAUGAAGUCGGAAUCGCUAGUAAUCGUGGAUCAGAAUGCCACGGUGAAUACGUUCCCGGGCCUUGUACACACCGCCCGUCACACCAUGGGAGUGGGUUGCAAAAGAAGUAGGUAGCUUAACCUUCGGGAGGGCGCUUACCACUUUGUGAUUCAUGACUGGGGUGAAGUCGUAACAAGGUAACCGUAGGGGAACCUGCGGUUGGAUCACCUCCUUACCUUAAAGAA